CAGCAGGGCGCAGAAGGAAAGGUGCGCCAUAUGGUUUCUGGAAGGCAGAUUUUGCUGGUGUCAGAGUGAUUCUAUCAAGGUAGAGAUUGAGUAAUUAUUUCGGCCGAGAAAUACACAGACAGAUGCAGAUAGCUUUGUCUGAGGAGAUCUGGUUAGACCGCCCAUAAGUGCUUUAUUUUAUACACAUCUCAACAUAGGAGUUACAAGAUGAGAUAAGGUGUUUACAGUACUAUGAUUGGUCAAUACAAGUUAUAUAAUUACACGUGAUACAUAUUGGCAACAAAAAGUAU